rnacentral:rRNA from 1 species
CAGUAGCCGCGGUAAUACGUAGGGUGCAAGCGUUAAUCGGAAUUACUGGGUGUAAAGCGUGCGCAGGCGGUUAUAUAAGUCAGAUGUGAAGUCCCCGGGCUCAACCUGGGAACUGCAUUUGAGACUGUAUGGCUAGAGUGUGUCAGAGGGGGGUAGAAUUCCACGUGUAGCAGUGAAAUGCGUAGAUAUGUGGAGGAAUACCGAUGGCGAAGGCAGCCCCCUGGGAUAACACUGACGCUCAUGCACGAAAGCGUGGGGAGCGAACAGGAUUAGAUACCCCAGUAGUCCCUGUCUCUUAUAA